AGAGUUUGCCCUUUGAACAGAUUGAACGCUGGCGGCAGGCCUAACACAUGCAAGUCGAACGGUAGCACAGAGAGCUUGCUCUUGGGUGACGAGUGGCGGACGGGUGAGUAAUGUCUGGGAAACUGCCCGAUGGAGGGGGAUAACUACUGGAAACGGUAGCUAAUACCGCAUAACGUCGCAAGACCAAAGUGGGGGACCUUCGGGCCUCACACCAUCGGAUGUGCCCAGAUGGGAUUAGCUAGUAGGUGGGGUAACGGCUCACCUAGGCGACGAUCCCUAGCUGGUCUGAGAGGAUGACCAGCCACACUGGAACUGAGACACGGUCCAGACUCCUACGGGAGGCAGCAGUGGGGAAUAUUGCACAAUGGGCGCAAGCCUGAUGCAGCCAUGCCGCGUGUAUGAAGAAGGCCUUCGGGUUGUAAAGUACUUUCAGCGAGGAGGAAGGCGUUGUAGUUAAUAGCUGCAGCGAUUGACGUUACUCGCAGAAGAAGCACCGGCUAACUCCGUGCCAGCAGCCGCGGCAAUACGGAGGGUGCAAGCGUUAAUCGGAAUUACUGGGCGUAAAGCGCACGCAGGCGGUCUGUCAAGUCGGAUGUGAAAUCCCCGGGCUCAGCCUGGGAACUGCAUUCGAAACUGGCAGGCUAGAGUCUUGUAGAGGGGGGUAGAAUUCCAGGUGUAGCGGUGAAAUGCGUAGAGAUCUGGAGGAAUACCGGUGGCGAAGGCGGCCCCCUGGACAAAGACUGACGCUCAGGUGCGAAAGCGUGGGGAGCAAACAGGAUUAGAUACCCUGGUAGUCCACGCCGUGAACGA
rnacentral:rRNA from 1 species